AAAGUUUGAUCUCUGGGAUUUGUGCUUGAUGGUGGUACGUGGUUCCCUGAAAGCCUACGACGUCUUCAUGCGGGAAGCUGGUGGUCGGGUGCACAGAUAACUCUACGGUGUCGACGGCAGGUGUUAAAAUGGUGCAGGAGACCUUAACCGACUUGAAGCCCUCCUGUUUAACUGGCACUGAGUUGUCCAUGGGCAGACGACCGCUGUCUGAGGAAGUCGCUUGCGGAUGCUCCCAGUUGGAGAUUGCUAUGAGUUGCCCCUCUUGUCCCAGCUACCGACUGUUGCCUAUCAGCCUCCUGACUGUAUAACUGGACAGUGUUCUCUAAGUGUUGCAAUGCUUGCUUUACUGGGGCAUUUCUGCCCAAUUUGUAUCUUCAUUUUGGGUAAAAUAAAUACUUUCUAGCAAAAUGCCUCGUCAUCUGAUUAGUGACGCGCAUGAUUGGAUUAAGGAGAUUCCUACUGUCCAUAUCUACUAUCUUGCGAAACCACAGCCAGCAGAACGGGCUUGGCAGAAUCACAAGAGAAAGAAGACUCUGUUUAGCUUGACUUUAGUCUGACUCUGUGAAGAGACAUGGCGGGUGUAUUA
rnacentral:ncRNA from 1 species